UUGUGGUCAAGAUACAAAGGGCGUAUGGGGAAUGACUUGGCACUGAGAGGCGAUGAAGGACGUGGUAGCCUGCGAUAAGCUUCGGGCAGCCGGCAACAGGCGUUACGACCCGGAGAUUUCCGAAUGGGGAAACCCGGCGGGUUUGAAUACCCGCCAGGCAUGGCUGAAUGCAUAGGCCAUGGCCAGCGAAAUGCAGAGAACUGAACCAUCUUAGUACCUGCAAGAAAAGAAAUCGAAUGAGAUUUCCUGAGUAGCGGCGAGCGAAAAGGAAAAUAGCCCAAACCGGCAGCAGCAAUGCUUCCGGGGUCGUGGGAGCCUCAGCCGCAAGGCGACGGAGUUACAAAAUCACACCUAGUUGAACGGCAUGGGAAGGCCGACCAUAGAAGGUGACAGUCCUGUAGGCGAAAGGUGAUGAUCUCCGGAGGAUUUCCCAAGUACUGUCAGCUAAGAGAAAACUGGCAGGAAUUUAGGGGGCCCACCCUCUAAGGCUAAAUACUACUCAGUGACCGACAGUGAACCAGUACCGUGAGGGAAAGUUGGAAAGAUCCCCGGGAGGGGAGGAAUUGAACCUGAAACCAUAUGCCUACAAGCGGUCGGAGCACUAUACCCGUAUGGGCAAGUGUGACGGCGUGCCUGUUGGAUAAUGAUCCAGUGAGUUACGCUGCGUCGCAAGCUUAAGCGUCUAUGACGCGAAGGCGAAGCGAAAGCGAGUGCGAAAUGUGCGUCUUUAGUGACGUGGCGUAGGCCCGAAACCGGAAGAUCUACCCAUGGCCAGGGUGAAAUGGGCUUAACCGCUCAUGGAGGCCCCAAUCUUUCAGCGUUGAAAAGCUGUUGAAUGAGCUGUGGGUAGGAGUGAAAAGCUAAUCGAUUUCGGAGAUAGCUGGUUCUCCGCGAAAAAACUUUAGGGUUUGCCUCAAGUCAUAGUGUGUGGGGGUAGAGCUACUGAAAAGAUCGGAGGGGCCUUCGGGCUACCCCAUCUUCUCAAACUCCGAAUACCACAUACCGUAUCUUGGGAGUAAGACGGUGGGGGAUAAGCUUCAUCGUCAAGAGGGAGAUAACCCAGACCGCCAGCUAAGGCCCCUAAACUGACGCUAAGUGGACAAAGGAAGUGGAAGUGCUAAGACAGCCGGGAUGUUGGCUUAGAAGCAGCCACCAUUUAAAAAGUGCGUAAUAGCUUACCGGUCGAGCAUUUCCGCGCCGACAAUGAUCGGGACUAAGCGUCAUGCCGAAGCUGCGGGUGUGGAAUGGACGGAGGUCCAUCCACGCGGUAGCGGAGUGUUCCCAGGGCAGUGAAGCCUUACCGCAAGGAGAGGUGGAGCGCUGGGAAGCAAUGAUACUGGAUUGAGUAGCGAUAAAACGGGUGAGAAUCCCCGUUCGUCGAAAGCCUGAGGUUUCCGGGGCAAGGUAAUUCCGCCUCGGGUUAGCCGGCCCCUAAGCCAAGGCCGAAAGGCGUAGGUGAUGGGAAUCACGUUAACAUUCGUGAGCCGCAUUUGGUGCGAUGGGAAGACCCAAGAAGGAAAGUCUAAGGUCUGUUGGAUGAUCUGUCGGGUGUUGGGGUGGCCGCGUGGCAAAUCCAUCGGCGUAAUCUCCGGCACUCGAGACGGCGCGGCUUCGGCCAAACCGUACUGACCGGAUGUCUUGGCAAGAAAAUCCCCUAAGCUUCAGCCAGGUGCGACCGUACCACAAACCGACACAGGUGGGCGAGGAGAAGAUCCUCAGACGCGCGUGAGAACUCUGCGGAAGGAACUCGGCAAAUUGGCCCCGUAAGUUCGCGAUAAGGGGCGCCUAACCGCCGCAAGGCGGAAGGUCACAGAGAAGAGGUUCUGACGACUGUUUAUCAAAAACACAGCUCUCUGCUAACUCCGAAGAGGAGGUAUAGGGAGCGACGCUUGCCCAAUGCUGGAAGGUCACGGGGAUCGGUUAGCCGCAAGGCGAAGCUGAGAACCUAAGCCCCAGUGAAUGGCGGCCGUAACUAUGACGGUCCUAAGGUAGCGAAAUACCUUGGCUGGUAAGUUCAGUCGCGCAUGAAGAGCGGAACGGUUGGAACACUGUCUCCCGCAGGGACACGGCGAAAUAGGAGUCGUUGUGAAGAUACAACGUUCCCGCAGCUAGGCGGAAAGACCCUAUGCAGCUUUACUGUAAUCUGGCAAUGGGCCUUGACAUUCAAUGCGUAGGAUAGGUGGGAGGCUAUGAGGACUCGGUUCUGGCUGAGUCUGAGCCGUCGGUGAAAUACCACCCUUUGUGUGUUAAGGUUCUAACCCCGUUCCGUGAAUCCGGGCGGGGGACACUGCCUGAUGGACAGUUUGACUGGGGCGGUUUCCUCCCAAAAAGUAACGGAGGAGUUCAAAGGUACCCUCAGGGCGGUCGGCUAUCGCCCGUUGAGCGUAAAGGUAGAAGGGUGCUUGACUGUGAGACCAAUGCGUCGAACAGACUGGAAACAGGGACUUAGUGAUCCUGUGGAUCCGUGUGGAAGGGACAUAGCUUAUCAGAUAAAAGCUACGCUAGGGAUAACAGGCUGAUCUUACCUAAGAGUUCCUAUCGACGGUAAGGUUUGGCACCUCGAUGUCGGCUCAUCGCAUCCUGGGACUGAAGGAGGCCCCAAGGGUUCGGCUGUUCGCCGAUUAAAGCGGUACGUGAGCUGGGUUCAGACCGGCGCGAGCCAGGUUGGUCCCUACCUACUGUGGGCGGAGGAGUUUUGAGCGAGUUUAACUCUAGUACGAGAGGAUUGGGUUGGACGUACCUCUGGUGUUCCUGUUGGGCCGCCAGGCCCAGCGCAGGGUAGCUAUGUACGGAAAGGAUAAGCGCUGAAAGCAUAUAAGCGCGAAGCCCUUCGCAAGAUUAGAACUCCCUACCAGACUCGUGGCAGACUACCACGUUGAUAGGCCGGAGGUGUAAUGGGUGAAAGCCCUUGAGCUGACCGGUACUAAUCAGUCGAUCGGCUUGACCA
rnacentral:rRNA from 2 species